rnacentral:rRNA from 1 species
AGAGUUUGAUCAUGGCUCAGGAUGAACGCUGGCGGCGUGCCUAAUACAUGCAAGUCGAGCGAGAAUCUGAUGAUCGGAGAUUCGUCAAAGAGAAUCAGAGGAAAGCGGCGGACGGGUGAGUAACGCGUAGGCAACCCGCCCUUAGCAGAGGGAUAGCCAUUGGAAACGAUGAUUAAAACCUCAUAAUGCUGAAGAGUCACAUGUCUUUUCAGCCAAAGAUUUAUCGGCUAAGGAUGGGCCUGCGUCUGAUUAACUAGUUGGUGAGGUAACGGCCCACCAAGGUGACGAUCAGUAGCCGACCUGAGAGGGUGAUCGGCCACAUUGGAACUGAAACACGGUCCAAACUUCUACGGAAGGCAGCAGUAAGGAAUCUUGCACAAUGGGGGAGAGCGCUGAUGCAGCAACGCCGCGUGAACGAUGAAGGCCUUAGGGUUGUAAAGUUCUGAUCUGUGGGAAGAAGAAAGUGACGGUACCACAGGAGAAAGCCCCGGCUAAAUACGUGCCAGCAGCCGCGGUAAUACGUAUGGGGCAAGCGUUAUCCGGAAUUAUUGGGCGUAAAGAGUGCGUAGGUGGUUACCUAAGCGCAAGGUUUAAUCUUGAGGCUCAACCUCAUUCUGCCUUGCGAACUGGGCUACUGGAGUGCUGGAGAGGCAAGUGGAAUUCCAAGUGUAGCGGUGAAAUGCGUAGAGAUUUGGAAGAUACCGGAGGCGAAGGCGGCUCUCUGGACCGAUACUGACACUGAAGAGCGAAAGCGUGGGGAGCAAACAGGAUUAGAUACCCUGSUAGUCCACGCCGUAAACGAUGUCGACCAGGAAUUUGACGCCUUAGAGGUGUUGGGUUCCAGAACAAACGAAAUAAGUCGACCGCCUGGGGAGUACGGCCGCAAGGUUAAAACUCAAAUGAAUUGACGGGGGCCCGCACAAGCGGUGGAGCAUGUGGUUUAAUUCGAUGCAACGCGAAGAACCUUACCUGGUCUUGACAUGGCAGUAAUCCUGUAGAGAUACGGGAGUGCCGCAAGGAAACUGCACACAGGUGCUGCAUGGCUGUCGCCAGCUCGUGUCGUGAGAUGUUGGGUUAAGUCCCGCAACGAGCGCAACCCUUAUGACUUGUUGGCGUCGUUAAGUUGGCAACUCAAGUCAGACUGCUGGUGAUAAACCGGAGGAAGAUGGGGAUGACGUCAAGUCAUCAUGGCCCUUACGACCAGGGCAACACACGUGCUACAAUGGGAUAUACAGAGGGAAGCGAGCAGGUGACUGUAAGCGAAUCUCAGAAAGUAUUUCGUAGUCCGGAUUGAAGUCUGCAACUCGACUUCAUGAAGUUGGAAUCGCUAGUAAUCGCAAAUCAGAAUGUUGCGGUGAAUACGUUCCCGGGCCUUGUACACACCGCCCGUCACACCAUGGGAGUGGAUUGCACCAGAAGUAGCCAGCUUAACGAAAGAGGGCGGUUACCACGGUGUGGUUUAUGACUGGGGUGAAGUCGUAACAAGGUAACCGUA